GUAAACAAUGUACAGGGCAGUUGGCGGACUUUAAAUAUAAUGUGCCGCGUCGUCCGGCUUAAAUACUGUGUAAAACACUACAAGCCUGCGAGACUGACGAGGCGUGGCGUGGACAAAGUGGGUGGAACUGGACUCGCUGGACGUCCGACUCCGUCUUCCCGCAGGCUGCAGUCAGUAGUAGUUGGAAACAGAGAAGUCUGCGUGAGCCCGAUUUUUAUGCCUGUCCUGUCGGCUCAGCUUCAGCUCAGCUCAGCUUCAGUUCACUUCAGCAGUCCUGGAAACAAAAGAUCGAGACAGGACAGGUGAUGACCUUGUCCUCCAGCAUGACGCUGACCACCAGGAAGACGAAGUAGAGCAUGAACAUGAAGAAUCCCAGCAGCUUGCUCAUCCUCCACUUGCACACG